GUUAUGGGAGAUUGACUCCGUUGGCGAAAACUCUGCAAGAAGACCCCUCGUGCCAGUUGUGUACUAUUCUACAAAAUUAUGUCCUGUUAAACGAUUUAAAGAGCAUCGAAGUUAACUUGAAGGAGUCAGAUUUACCUUUACUAUCAACGCUGCGACAGGGCGUGAUAGUGUUGAGCAGGCAGUGGAAGAACGUCCUUUACACGCCGUUACUAUUGGAACAUAAUUACAAAACGAAGCAUGUUAAACCAUUGAACGUGACGUUCGCGGUUUCAGACCCGGACGAGCGAAUAAGCAACGGUGUACCGGAGGAUAGCUAUGUAAAAUUCAGU